AGAGCGAACGCUGGCGGCAGGCUUAACACAUGCAAGUCGAGCGGGCGUAGCAAUACGUCAGCGGCAGACGGGUGAGUAACGCGUGGGAACGUACCUUUUGGUUCGGAACAACACAGGGAAACUUGUGCUAAUACCGGAUAAGCCCUUACGGGGAAAGAUUUAUCGCCAAAAGAUCGGCCCGCGUCUGAUUAGCUAGUUGGUGAGGUAACGGCUCACCAAGGCGACGAUCAGUAGCUGGUCUGAGAGGAUGAUCAGCCACAUUGGGACUGAGACACGGCCCAAACUCCUACGGGAGGCAGCAGUGGGGAAUAUUGGACAAUGGGCGCAAGCCUGAUCCAGCCAUGCCGCGUGAGUGAUGAAGGCCCUAGGGUUGUAAAGCUCUUUUGUGCGGGAAGAUAAUGACGGUACCGCAAGAAUAACGCCCGGCUAACUUCGUGCCAGCAGCCGC
rnacentral:rRNA from 1 species